rnacentral:miRNA from 12 species
AAGCUUUUGGCUCGGGUUAUAC